AUUUAUAAACAAAGCUCUUGCAAUGAGGACUAAACUGCUUCAGUCAGGCAGAGGCAGCAAGAUGGUGUCAGAGACCCAAGUCCUCAUGUCUCUGCUGCUCUGGGUGUCUGGUACCUGUGGGGAGAUUGUGAUGACCAAGUCUCCAGCUCCCCUGGAUGUGUCAGCAGUAGAGAGAUACACCAUGAGCUGCAAGUCCAGCCAAAGUCUUUAUUAUAGCUCAAACCAGAAGAACUUCUUGGCCUGGUAUCAGAAGAAUCCAGGGCAGGCUCCGAAGCUGCUGAGGUACUGGGCAUCCACACAUCAGACUUGGGUCCCUGAUUGCUUCAUAGGCCGUGGGUCUGGGAAAGAUUUAGCUCUCACCAUCAGCAGUGUCCAGGAUGAAGACCUCGCACAUUAUUACUGUCAGCAGGAUUAUGAGGAUACUCCAACAAUGCUUCACACUCCAACACAAACCCCUCAGGAUUUCACCAGCUGCUCGCACCUCACAAAACCCCAGACUUGCAUACUUCAUCAGCCAAAGAGCUAGGAUGUCUCUCACGGAAGAGAAAUUUUUAAGAGUUCAGCAAAAACGAAUGAGUUCAACAUUUCUUAGG